rnacentral:rRNA from 1 species
CAACCGUUGGNAACGACGGCUAAUACCGCAUAAUGUCUACGGACCAAAGGGGGCUUCGGCUCUCGCCUUUAGAUUGGCCCAAGUGGGAUUAGCUAGUUGGUGAGGUAAUGGCUCACCAAGGCGACGAUCCCUAGCUGGUUUGAGAGGAUGAUCAGCCACACUGGGACUGAGACACGGCCCAGACUCCUACGGGAGGCAGCAGUGGGGAAUAUUGCACAAUGGGCGCAAGCCUGAUGCAGCCAUGCCGCGUGUGUGAAGAAGGCCUUCGGGUUGUAAAGCACUUUCAGCAAGGAGGAAAGGGUGUUAGUUAAUACCUUANCAUCUGUGACGUUACUUGCAGAAGAAGCACCGGCUAACUCCGUGCCAGCAGCCGCGGUAAUACGGAGGGUGCGAGCGUUAAUCGGAAUUACUGGGCGUAAAGCGUACGCAGGCGGUUUGUUAAGCGAGAUGUGAAAGCCCCGGGCUUAACCUGGGAACUGCAUUUCGAACUGGCAGGCUAGAGUGUGAUAGAGGGUGGUAGAAUUUCAGGUGUAGCGGUGAAAUGCGUAGAGAUCUGAAGGAAUACCGAUGGCGAAGGCAGCCACCUGGGUCAACACUGACGCUCAUGUACGAAAGCGUGGGGAGCAAACAG